CUGUGUCCUGUCCACAGAGUUGUCCAGUUAGUCUGAUGAUCUCAGUGACUGCUUGGUCCUUCUCAGCCCUGCCGGCCAGAUUCAUAGAAGAUGUGAGAAAUCAUGAGGCCACAGAAGGGGCCACGGCUGUGCUGCAGUGUGAGCUGAGCAAGGCGGCCCCUGUGGAGUGGCGGAAGGGGUCUGAGACCCUCAGAGAUGGGGACAGAUAUAGCCUGAGGCAGGACGGGACGAGGUGUGAGCUGCAGAUUCAUGGCCUGGCUAUGGAGGACACUGGAGAGUAUUUGUGUGUGUGCGGGCAGGAGAGGACCUCAGCUACACUCACUGUCAGGGCCCUGCCGGCCAGAUUCAUAGACAACAUGACAAACCAGGAGG
rnacentral:sRNA from 1 species